GAUGGCCACCAACUUGGACAGCUUUAGGAGGACUGGGCAAAUUCAUGGAAGGUGAGGCCAGUAAUGACUGCUGGCCACAAUGGCUAUGUUCUCCCUGCAUUGUUGGAGGCCUCUGAAUACCGCUGGAUAGAGAAUCAUAGCAAACCAAGAGCUCCAAGUACCUGUGUACACCUUACAGACAGAGGGAAAGCCAGUUGGACACCUGCUCCAAAAUGAGGCUUCUUCAUUCACUUCUGCUACUACAGAAGUAGUGUCUGCUAAAGAGAUACUAAUUAGAUCUUCCUGAUCUGUGAGCUGAUUCUUCAUAUUUUGGGUCUAUUCUGGAGGGUUAUUUUAAGGGUAAAAGGGAGACCACAUCCUGAAGUGCACAGAAGAAGAGGACAAUAAAGAUGCUUUAAACAAUCCAUUUUCAUGUUGCUGUAGUUGCUUCUGUUUUGAGAGACACAAAAAGAAACAGAAAGUCCCAACCAAACCUGCAAUCAGAGAAAAGAGAAAGCAGGAGCUGGAAAGCAAGAAGAUAUGAGAAAGAGAAAUUAUUAUUUACUGUAUUUGCAGACGGCCCUUCCACAAAAGUUCUUGGAGCAGUGAACAAUUGACAAUAAAAUAAUAAAAAUAAAACAUCAGAAAUAAAACCGCAAACUGAAAGCAUGUCAUAGGGAAAAUCAGCACCACCACAAUACGUAAGAAACACCA